rnacentral:lncRNA from 1 species
AGGAGAAACUCGAAUAUUUUUGAGGUCGCUGACGAGUCUACUAUUAUCGGAGGCCUUGGGUGCUGAGGCUACAGGUGAGAACCAUCUACUGUAGAGACUCGGAUGAAGACUUUCUGUUGGCGAAGUCCAGUAAGAGUCCAAAAUCUAGGGAAGUCCAUCUAGGGUUUGCCUGAUGCGGAAGCUCGUCUGAAGAUUAUCCACCAGAGGAGUCCAGUUUCAUGAGGAAUCUGGCAGAAGGUCGGCCGAUGGUGGAUUUUGGAUGGCAUUGGGGAGGCUCGUCUGCUGAAGGAAUCUGAAGGA